UGGAGGAAGAAUCGCAUCUCCAAUUUCUCUCCCUAAUCUGAUAUAGCCGUUGGUGACCUAAUGCUUUCCCUAAUCUCAUGCGUUGUAGUUUCCUAGACCACUCUUUCUCCCUCUCUUACAUCCUCUUCUUCCAGGCUUCUAGGUUUUUUUUCCCUAAAAUUUCCCUCUGCCCUUUUCGAAUCCCAUAUGUUCUGUAUUAUAUUUGCUGCGUAAAAGAUUAUGUCAAAGAAAGUUCUGUGAGAGGUCAUGACUUUUUAGAGAUCAGAGUGCUGCAAUGGGUUUGGUGGCAAACGGCGGUACUAAAAGAAACUCAAUGAGAAUAUAAAUGCUAUGUGAACAAAAUAUUCAAAGGUUCAAAUCUUGGUCCACACAGAAAUUGCAGGCUUAAUCUGGAUGAGCAACGGACUCAGGUGACUCUAUGGUCGAUGGUCAGGUCCCCUUUCAUCUUUGGUGGAGAUAUGAGAAAGCUUGAUGAUACUAAUUUAAUCUUCUUACAAAUCCUACUCUGUUGGAGAUUAACUGGUUUAGCUCAAACAACCUGGAGGCAUGUGAAUAAACUGAUUCGACCUUUGGCUUCACUAAGGCAUAUGUAUGGGUCAGAGUCCGACCCCACGAUAAUUAACGAGGCUAAUCCCGUUUUAAGUUAAUUCAUGAUUAAUUAGUGGCACGGCCAU